GACGAACGCUGGCGGCGUGCCUAACACAUGCAAGUCGAGCGCUGAAGCCUGGCACUUGUACCAACCGCAUGAGCCGCGCACGGGUGAGUAACGCGUGUGGAAUCCGCUUUUGAGCGGGGGACAACCUUUGAAAACGAAUGCUUAUCCCGCAUAAAAACUUUAAACAUAAGUUGUAAGUUUGAAAUAUGCAAUUGCAUCACUCAAAGAUGACCUCGCGUGGUAUUAGCUAGUUGGUGAGGUAAAGGCUCAUCAAGGCGGUGAUACAUAGCCGACAUGAGAGGGUGGUCAGCCAGAUUGAGAGUGAGACACGGCACAAACUGCUAGGGGAGGGAGCAGUAGGGAAUCGUCGGCAAUGGACGAAAGUCUGACCGAGCAACGCCGCGGGAGUGAAGAAGGUUGUCGGAUCGUAAAACUCUGUUGGUGGGGAAGAACGUGGGUGAGAGUGGAAAGAUCAGCGAGUGACGGUAACUAGUCAGAAAGGAACGGCUAACUACGUG
rnacentral:rRNA from 1 species